rnacentral:misc_RNA from 1 species
GAUGAAGAACGUAGCGAAAUGCGAUAAGUAAUGUGAAUUGCAGAAUUCAGUGAAUCAUCGAAUCUUUGAACGCACAUUGCGCCCGCCAGUAUUCUGGCGGGCAUGCCUGUUCGAGCGUCAUUUCAACCCUCAAGCCCCCGGGCUUGGUGUUGGGGAUCGGCGUGCCCUCGCGGCGCGCCGUCCCCUAAAUCUAGUGGCGGUCUCGCUGUAGCUUCCUCUGCGUAGUAGCAACACUCGCACUGGAUCGUAGCGCGGCCACGCCGUUAAACCCCCCACUUCUGAAAGUUUGACCUCGGAUCAGGUAGGAAUACCCGCUGAACUUAAGCAUAUCAAUAAGCGGAGGA